rnacentral:lncRNA from 1 species
CAAAAUGAGGCAGAACUUAGCUUGUCACAUAGGUGUAUUCUUCCUGGAACCGAUGCGGGGUCAGAAAACUGAUGGCUUUUAAGCAAGCUGGACGGGUCCUCUCAGCGCAUUCCCCCACCCGCCUGGCGCCAAUGGAGCUGGCCUGGCCCGCCCAGCCCCUCCCCGCCCCGUCCGCGCUCGGACCGGACUUUCAGGACUGCAGGGGAAAGGGUGGACACCCAGCCUCCCGCCAGGAGGAUACAAAAAUACAUCAGUUUGCAAACCAGAAGAAGGUCCUCACCAGAAACCAACUAUGCUGGCACCCUGAUCUUGGACUUCUAGCCUCCAGAACUGUGAGAAAUAAAUGUGUGUUUAUAAACCAGUCAGUCAGUCUAUGGUGCUUUAUUAUAGCAUCUGGAACGAGCUAAGACAGCUGCUAAGUAGCAUUCCAUUUGACAAGGAAGACUUACCAUUCACACUACUUCUGAGUUCAAUGAAAGAGAGGCUCGGUUCCUUACCUGUAAAAUAGAGAUCAUAUAGAGAUGUCGGGAAGAUUUAAUAACAUCAUGCAAGCAAUAUGCCUACAAGAGUGCCUGUAAAACAUUAAGCCUUGGAAAUAAAAGAAGCAGAACUGUAACAUCCUGAGAAAACACAGAGACAUUGAAGUAUAUGAGCACGACACAUCUGCAAAUCUUUAAGCAAAAUGGUAAAAGUGAGAGCUGUGUUCUCAUUAUAAGGCUAGCUAUGUUAAUAAACUCAGAAAAUAACAAUUGGAUCUUAAAAGAACAAAAUGAAAAAAUAAUCUUCUCCAGUAACAAAUUAUAUCUACCUGUCAACUAUUUCAUAAGAUAGAAAUGUUAGGGUUGGGCAUCAUAGCCCACACCCGUAAUCUAAGCACGUUGGGAGGCUGAGGCCAGAGGAUCGCUUGAGGCCAGAAGUCAGCACUCAAAUUUCUGAUAUGAUAAGCCAAACCACUGAUGGAAUCAAUAAAGCAGACUGACAAUCUGACACUAAACUAAGCAAACAGAUUUUGUAAGUUUAGAAACUAAGGCAUGAAUCUAUUAUACAGUCACUACAUCUGCAUCUGCCAGUAAACCUAAAGCUUAACUUCAUAGACAAAUUUGAUACCCUUAAAAUUGACUCUUUUUUUAUAUAAAGCAUUUGUGUGUUUUUUGCCACUAAAAUGGUUUAUGCUAACAUUCAAAUUCCUUAUCAUAUGUGAGACUGCCACCUGUGUCCCAAAUGACCACAAAGAGGAAGAAUGUGGGUUAUCGUUUGAAUAUAAUCAUGAUCACAGCAUUGAAGAGUAUAUGAUAGAGAUUUAAUACGGCCUUUCAAUAGACUGGGAGAGAGUCUAAUAUUAAUUUUCUAAAAAGUUCCCCUCUAGAAGAUACCAACCUUGGAUAUAAUAAUUACAAACCCUACUAAAAACCAAGUAAUUUUCUUUCAAUUCUGAAAAUUGUCCAAAAGGUGUUAACUCCUUCACUCAUCAGAAAAACACUGCAUGGCAGUCAAGCCAAACAAGGACUCAGCAAUAGCAUCGUUAACAAUUAUAAUUGAAACUUGGGUCACAAUAAGUGACAUCAACUUACCAUAGAAUUAUUCCAGUUCUAUUUUUAAUCCUAUUAAAGACAGUAAUUACAAUGGUAUAAUUACAGCCCCCAAAUACUCCAUACCUGGAAUGUGGCAGCUUCUGGAGCUUUUGGAUCAGUUUCACUCAGCUCAUUGGACAAGUGCCAAUUGGUAUUACCAAUGGUGCUUAAAGUUCUGAAAACUCAAUAAAGCUUUAAAAACCUUGAGGAACAAUAGCUCAUCAGGACACCCAAAGAAUAAUGUUACAUCAUGAAGACAAACAUUCUCAUUUUCUUUCUUCUGCAGAUUUCUUUUCCUGCCUGCACUUUCUUUGAGGUUGCAGUAGAGAGUGUGUGUCUACAGAAGGUACUGUAUGCAUAGCUAUAAGGAGGUCUUACCCUCUGUCUUUUUAUCUUUCUGGGCCCUUCUUUACCCUUGUUCUUCCUCUUCUCCUCUCUUAAUUCUAUAAUGGGUCUUCACAUAUUGCUGUACCUUCUCAUGUUACUUGAAUAGAAUUUUGAUACUUAAUCUGAAAAGCUGAUAAGUGAAAACAUUUGUUUUGUGGUAUAUUAAGUACUUUAUUGAAAUUAUUAAUUUCACAUAUUUUAAAGUUAUAUAGCUUUUAGCUAAUUUUUUGGAUA